GAACUGAGGAUUGGGGUUCUCUAUUUCCCUUUCUCUUCCAGCGUCCUUCUUCCUUCUUUCUUCUUUGUCAGAGGCGCUCAGAUUAUUUGCUUCUUCUUUUGUUGUCAUUUUUCUUCUUUCUCUAUCUUUUACUUCCUCAUCUCUCCUCCAGUCGCUCUCACCCUCAAAAACCAGAUCGAAAAACAUACCAAACACCAAACAACCAAAUCUGAAUCGUACCUUCGCCAUCCGUUUCGUCAUCCUUCUCUCUCAGCCUCUCACAUCCUGUUUCAUUUCCUAUGAAACCAAUCUUGGCCCAAAAUCCGUAAUACCCAAAUCAAAAAACCUAACACCUCAGCCCCAAAUACCUCCUCCAAUCACACGUGCUCUCUCGACUUCUUGCUUAGCAAUCAGUUGCUUGUCACACUCGAUUUCUGUUUAGCAAUCGAAAUCUUGUCGCUCGUUAGUAAAGCUUUGAAGAUAAGUUAUAGGUUUCUGGUAGUGAUUUGGCUUGAAAUCUGGUAGUGAUUUCAAUUUGCAGCAGUCAAUUUGAAGGUAUUGGAGUUCGAUUCGCAGCAGGCCAUUUGAAGGUAUUGGAGUUCGAUUCGCAGCAGGCCAUUUGAAGGUCGUGUUUCAAACUGCACCAGGUCGAGAGUAAGGUUGAUGAAUUAUUGGGAUAGGUACUUGUUUCAUCGUGGUGAUAAUAAGAUAGAGUGCUUUGGCAUUUGCUGGUCUUUCAAUGCCACAGUCAAUGCAGAGAUAAGUGAUGACUUUUUUCGAAUCACCACGUGGAUCCAAAUUGCAGUAAGGUGUAAUGUUAAAGUGCUUCACCUUGAAUUCACUCAAAACAACUUGAAUAUAGUUGUGUUACCAUCUUGCAUCUUUCUGUCUUUCAUUGCCAUUCUUUGACGGAACUCUAUGUGAACUUGGGUGGGGGUGAUAUUCAAUCACCCUCCUUGUCUUUUUUAAGUAAUCUCCAGCACUUGGAGUUGAAGGAUGCUAUGGUUGAAGAUGACCGGUUUUUCAAAUGGAUAUCAUCUUCCUGCAAAUGCAUCAAGGAAUUAUGUCUUGAAAAUGUUAGUGGAAUAAAAAAUAUCACUAAUGAGAGCUCGUCUUUGGAAAGAUUUAGUUAUGUGUUUCUUUUUGACAAUUAUGAGCUCUGGGAUCUUAACAUUUCAGGGGAGAAACUUGAAGAAAUAUGUAUACGCUGGGAAUUUGAUUCAAGUGAUGAUUCAAGAUGUGGAAUUUAUUGUACUCUGCGUUGGUCAAUUUAAUGCUAUCUUUUACCGAGAA